rnacentral:rRNA from 1 species
AGCGAACGUUAGCGGCGGGCCUAACACAUGCAAGUCGAGCGAGAAAGUGGCUUCGGCCAUCAGUAAAGCGGCGGACGGGUGAGUAACACGUAGGUAAUCUUCCCUUGAGCGGGGGACGAACGUUUCGUAAAGGAACGCUAAUACCGCAUACGUUCCCGGGAGGCUCUGGCCCCUCGGGAGGAAAGCUAGGUCGCAAGAUCCGGCACUCGAGGAGGAGCCUGCGUCGCAUCAGCUAGUUGGUGGGGAACGGCCUACCAAGGCGAAGAACGCGUAGCUGGUCUGAGAGGAUGAUCAGCCACACUGGGA